CCGCUUGGAGCAGCUUGCAUAGAGCGUUUCAUUUUGGUCACCUGUGUAUUGCUGGUGUUCUUCUGUAGUUUGGUGCUUCCCUCACUUUGGAGAACACCAAGGAUCGUAUCUCUCCUGCCCUAUAUCAGACUAACGGAGAUUCUCCUGAUUCAGUCGGAGGUAUUCAGUUCGGGAAGUGGGACAAAUUAUCACCUAGGAACUGGCAAUGCCCACAUACAAAAACUGUCAUGCAAAGUAGAUGCCUUGCAUGGGUCGUAUAUCAAAACAGUUGAUGCAUCAAAGUUCCAUAGUGUAGCAGUUAAUUCUGAUGAUGAACUAUACACAUGGGAAUUUGGUCGAGGUGGUCGUCUUGGUCACCGGAUAUUCACAGGUGUUCACUUGGGGUCAUGGCCAUUAAUCACAGCAAGUUAACAAUAAUCUGCUUAUGUUCUCCUGAUACUUUGUUUCCUGAUUGCCCCCUAAGCCACAUCCCCACUUUUGUAUUUGGUUUAUGUGCCGAUACGCGGUUGUUUUUGUCAUCAAGGAUAGUAUCAACUCAGUCAGCAUCAACCAAGAUACGGUGUAAAAUUCUGUUAAAUAUGUCUGAAUAUGUGAUCAAUGAAAACUUUCUAUGAUAAUAA